CCCGUCCUUGUCUGGGGCUGAUGCAGUUCGAUGAACGUUACGUGAGAGCAGCGUGCUGACUCCCAUUGACACAAUAAGACCCGCACCGCUUGACUUAACUAGUUAGGUUUGGGUGCAAUUUUUGGAACC